rnacentral:lncRNA from 1 species
AAAAUCCUUACCAUAGCUUGUAACCCCCAGGCCCAAAGGGAAAUGGAGAUGUUUUGAUCAAAUUCUCUGUUUUUCCAGUUGAGGCCCAGAGAGGAUUGGCCCCAGGCCACUCGUGAAUUAAUGGCAGAGUCAGUCUUCUUCCCUGCUCUGUUAACUAACUCAGGAGUCCCUAGGCAGUAAGACCUGGACAGUGGACCGAGAGGAGGGGCUGUGGUUUUUGGCUUGGAUAUUGGUAGCAUUGGCAAAUCUCAGUUCUUCCAGUGGGCCCUUUAAGCCUAAAGAAGGGCAGCUUCCUCCUGGGGUAUCUAUUAGGGAGCUGUCCUUGGCAGAGAAACCAUUGGUCCUUACACUGGUCCUUACAGGGGAGCCAAGUACAGGUCUUGGGACCUCUGAGACAGCCCAGAGGCUUCUGCUUUCACCCAUUGAAUCCCUCAGGUCGUGUAGUCCAUCACAAGCCAAUGUUGAACUUGGGUGCUGUGCUUUUUAUAGCAUCUUUGCCAUCAAGCCAGGGAAUAAGAUCUUAUCUCCCCGGUGGCCAGGACCCACAGGAAUCUGGAUGCUGUACCAGGCCUGUUCCUCCAUACAGCUGUGGCAUUUGCUCGAUCCCCAGCCUGGAGCACUGCCCAUAGACUGCCUCGCACCGGUGCUCUCCUUCAGGCCCUAGAUCAAACGUCAUCUCUUCAGAGAGGCCUCCCUGACUGUCCAGUCUAACGGGCAGCACACGCCCCACCAGCUGCCUCUGCCCCCAUGUCAGACACUAUUCUGGAUCUGAGGACACAGCCAGGAACAAGACAGAAGAGGCUCCUGAUGUCAGGGGGCUCCCAUGCCAGCAUGGAGCAUUGGAUGUGGACAAAGCAGUGUCAGGUAGUGACCUGAUGUUCCCAGAGGGUGAGACCCUGUCUCUCCAACAUAGUAGGACC